rnacentral:rRNA from 1 species
GUGUCAGCCGCCGCGGUAAUACGGAGGGUGCGAGCGUUAAUCGGAAUUACUGGGCGUAAAGGGCGCGUAGGCGGUCGCGCAAGUCGGGUGUGAAAGCCCCGGGCUCAACCUGGGAAUUGCAUUCGAUACUGCGUAACUAGAGUCUGGUAGAGGGAAGCGGAAUUCCGCACGUAGCGGUGAAAUGCGUAGAUAUGCGGAGGAACACCAGUGGCGAAGGCGGCUUCCUGGACCAAGACUGACGCUGAGGCGCGAAAGCGUGGGGAGCAAACAGGAUUAGAUACCCUGGUAGUCCACGCCCUAAACGAUGAGGACUAGACGUUGGGGGGAUAAAACCCUUUAGUGUCGCAGCUAACGCGUGAAGUCCUCCGCCUGGGGAGUACGGCCGCAAGGUUGAAACUCAAAGAAUUGACGG